UAGAAAUAAAAGCAGAGCUGACAGAAAUAACUUAGAUAUCACUUUCUCUGGGAUAUUGACUACAUUAUGCAAAAUAAGAACUAGAAUGAGCAGGAUUCAAAUGAAGCAACUCAUUCAAAAAAGAAAAAAAUGAAUCGACUAAAACGAUUGAAGCAAGUCCAGAAAACUAUGGAUUUACGACUCCUGGAAAAAGAGACCUCUCAUUUUGUGCUGUGUAGGAUACAGAAACCUGCAGGCAUUCCAAAUGUCAUAUACAUUAAAGAAUAUGACAUGCAUUUCAGCAUUUCAUACAUACAUCAGAAAAAAUAUGACAUGCGUGACAGAAUUUUUUAUUAUUGAUUCAACCGGACUGUGAAUAUAACUAUUAGUCUAUUAAACGGAGGUUACUGAAGAAAUUAUAAGAUAAUAGAAAA
rnacentral:lncRNA from 1 species